rnacentral:rRNA from 1 species
UGCAAGUCGAGCGGCAGCACGGGGGCAACCCUGGUGGCGAGCGGCGAACGGGUGAGUAACACAUCGGAACAUGCCCAGUCGUGGGGGAUAUCACUUCGAAAGAAGUGCUAAUACCGCAUACGUCCUGAGGGAGAAAGCGGGGGAUCGCAAGACCUCGCGCGAUUGGAGUGGCCGAUGUCAGAUUAGCUAGUUGGUGGGGUAAAGGCCUACCAAGGCAACGAUCUGUAGCUGGUCUGAGAGGAUGAUCAGCCACACUGGGACUGAGACACGGCCCAGACUCCUACGGGAGGCAGCAGUGGGGAAUUUUGGACAAUGGGGGCAACCCUGAUCCAGCCAUUCCGCGUGAGUGAAGAAGGCCUUCGGGUUGUAAAGCUCUUUCAGCAGGAACGAAACGGCGAGUACUAAUACUGCUCGCUAAUGACGGUACCUGAAGAAGAAGCACCGGCUAACUACGUGCCAGCAGCCGCGGUAAUACGUAGGGUGCGAGCGUUAAUCGGAAUUACUGGGCGUAAAGCGUGCGCAGGCGGUUGUGCAAGACAGGUGUGAAAUCCCCGGGCUUAACCUGGGAACUGCGCUUGUGACUGCACGGCUAGAGUAUGGCAGAGGGGGGUGGAAUUCCACGUGUAGCAGUGAAAUGCGUAGAGAUGUGGAGGAACACCGAUGGCGAAGGCAGCCCCCUGGCCAAUACUGACGCUCAUGC